GAUUCCACGCUGCGGGCUUCCACUGCUUGGCACUAGGAAGAGGGAGCAAAGGAGACUCAGCUGCACAUCAAUAGACCCUGUAGAAGAAUUGGACACAAGGGAAGCCAUGGCAAGGAUCAACUCUCCAAAUCUUGGGUCAGGCAGAAAAGCGUGGUGCUCUCUCAGUCCAGUCGGUUGAUCCAAGUUUUCUGGCUAACAGUCACCGGAAAAACUCUAGGUCUCUGGACCUCAAUCUCAGACUUCAGCGGAUGCAGCGCAGGAUAGAAACGGCAAGAAACCGAUUCCUAGAAACCCUGUUCUUCAAGCUCCUCCCAGGGGCUCAGCAUCCUAGAAAUGUUCCCAGUCUACAAGGUUGAAGCAGUCUAUGAUUUUGAUCCUCUGCAUCACUUUCUUCAGCCAAAAACGUACAACUGGGGUUGUGUGGAAGUAAUCAGUUGAUGGUAACAAAGGGCUUUGCAUUCAAGAAGUAGGCGGAAAGUGGAAAAGAGUCAGCAUUGUGGAUUAUUAAUGGGCAUUAUGAUGAGAGUGGAGAACAGUUUAGGAGUGAAUCUUCGGUUGGACAUUGCAGCAGACAUACUUCUAUACUGAGAAAAAAGUUCAUCAUUGCUUCUUGAAGUGUAAAA